UACGUAGGUGGCAAGCGUUGUCCGGAAUUAUUGGGCGUAAAGCGCGCGCAGGCGGUCCUUUAAGUCUGAUGUGAAAUCUCGCGGCUCAACCGUGAGCGGUCAUUGGAAACUGGGGGGACUUGAGUGCAGAAGAGGAGAGUGGAAUUCCACGUGUAGCGGUGAAAUGCGUAGAGAUGUGGAGGAACACCAGUGGCGAAGGCGACUCUCUGGUCUGUAACUGACGCUGAGGCGCGAAAGCGUGGGGAGCAAACAGG
rnacentral:rRNA from 1 species